rnacentral:rRNA from 1 species
CCUACGGGAGGCAGCAGUGGGGAAUAUUGGGCAAUGGGCGCAAGCCUGACCCAGCAACGCCGCGUGAAGGAAGAAGGCUUUCGGGUUGUAAACUUCUUUUCUCAGGGACGAAGCAAGUGGCGGUACCUGAGGAAUAAGCCACGGCUAACUACGUGACAGCAGCCGCGGUAAUACGUAGGUGGCAAGCGUUAUCCGGAUUUACUGGGUGUAAAGGGAGUGUAGGCGGGAAAGCAAGUCAGAUGUGAAAGCCAUGGGCUCAACCUUGGGCUUGCAAUUGAAACUGUUUUUCUUGAGUACUGGAGAGGCAGACGGAAUUCCUAGUGUAGCGGUGAAAUGCUUAGAUAUUAGGAGGAACACCAGUUGCGAAGGCGGUCUGCUGAACAGCAACUGACGCUGAGGCGCGAAAGCGUGGGGAGCAAACAGGAUUAGAUACCCGGGUAGUC